rnacentral:rRNA from 1 species
AUGCGAGUCGAGAGGGUUCGGCCCUCGGCGUACUGCUCAGUAACACGUGGAUAACCUACCCUGGGAUGGGGGAUAAUCUCGGAAAACUGAGGAUAAUACCCCAUAGGUCUGGGAGGCUGGAAUGCGCCCAGACUAAAAACUCCGGUGUCCCAGGAUGGGUCUGCGGCCUAUCAGGUUGUAGUGGGUGUAAAGGACCCACUAGCCGACGACGGGUACGGGCCAUGGGAGUGGUAGCCCGGAGAUGGAUUCUGAGACACGAAUCCAGGCCCUACGGGGCGCAGCAGGCGCGAAAACUUCGCAAUGCGCGAAAGCGCGACGAGGGGAUUCCAAGUGCAUGCACUCAGUGCAUGCUGUUUUCCAGUGUAAACAGCUGGGAGAGUAAGGGCUGGGUAAGACUGGUGCCAGCCGCCGCGGUAAUACCAGCGGCCCUAGUGGUGAUCGUUAUUAUUGGGCCUAAAGCGUCCGUAGCCGGCUCGGUAAAUC